CAUGUGAGGCACUGAGAGGGAGGGUCCAAAGCUGGGCUUUGAUAUUCUAUUUGCUCUGUAUCAUCCAAAUUUAGAUGCCAAGUUAACUUUGUUUUAUUAUGCGGAUAAGACUGACUUAAGAGAUUAACAUAUUCCCUCGAACCCACCACAUCCUUAUUGGAGAUCCUGAGUGACAGUUGAAGGGAGUAGUUACCGAGUUGGUGAGCUUCCUCAUCUUAUUUACAAGAUAAGUAUUCUAACACAAUAUAAUAUACAUCUCAAUCUAAACUAACUCGAGUGUUCAAGUUUUAUUGUAGGUAUUAUAAAUAUCACCAUUCACCAUCACAUGUCCAAGUCUUAGUUAUGUUCUGUAAUCAUUGUAGGGAUGGACAUAGUAUAUCUUGGAAGACUUGCAUCACGUAGAUAAGUUAAUCUCUCCAUUAACAAAAUAGUCUCUGGAAGGGUAGUCUUUCAUUCAAUUAAGUUGAUCCGUCCAUUAAGUCUUUUUACAAUAACUUUAACAUCAUGCGUGACACAUUUGUAUCGUCUAUGUAUACAAAAGACUAUUUUAAAGAGUUUGAGGUUAAAUAUCAAAAGUUAUAAAUUCUUUAAUUUAGUCACUAAA